UGCAGGACAGCUCAGUCAGCAGAGCAUGAGACUCUUGAUCUCUGGGUCGUGGGUUCGAGUCCCACGUUGGGCAA